rnacentral:rRNA from 1 species
AGCGGGACAACCAGCUUCCAAAUUGAAACUCUGGCUCUUUUAAGAGAAAGAAGAUUGUAAUUUGCAGAGGGCGCUUUGGCUUUGGCCUCGGUCCAAGUUCCUUGGGACAGGACGUCACAGAGGGUGAGAAUCCCGUACGUGGUCGCUGGCUAUUGCCGUGUAAAGCCCCUUCGACG